AUACGGAGGGUGCAAGCGUUAUUCGGAAUCACUGGGCGUAAAGGACGCGUAGGCGGGUUGGCAAGUCAGAUGUGAAAUCCUACAGCUUAACUGUAGAACCGCAUUUGAAACUGCUAACCUAGAGUAUGGGAGGGGGAGAUGGAAUUAGUGGUGUAGGGGUAAAAUCCGUAGAUAUCACUAGGAAUACCGAAAGCGAAGGCGAUCUCCUGGAACAUAACUGACGCUAAGGCGUGAAAGCGUGGGGAGCAAACAGGAUUAGAAACCCUAGUAGUCC
rnacentral:rRNA from 1 species